rfam:Podospora anserina genomic DNA, chromosome 1.
GGUCCGCUGGCGUAAUGGCAGCGCGUCUGACUACGAUUCCAUCAGUUAAUCAGGAGGUUCCAGGUUCGACCCCUGGGCGGAUCG